rnacentral:ncRNA from 1 species
CAAAAGACGAGGAAGAGAAGAGUAGGUAAAGGAAGUAGUCCUAGCGAGUCGGUGAUGGUGGAAGACCGAUACGAAGCCUCUACUGAAGAACAUCUCGGAGUUUCUAACUGAAAUCCAUAGGAGAGUAGGCUUAGACGGAACCAAACCGUUAUCUGUUGGACAAUAUUGAAUGGAUUCAUUCAGUAUUGAUUAGAGAUGGUCAUUUUUGACAAUUAGGGUGGUACCGCGGAACUUAGCCUUUCGUCCCUGGA